GUUUAGCUUUGUGUGCAAUACCAGCAUUGAUACAAAAACACUGACGUUGCAGGUCCCCAGACGUCAGGUGAGUAUCUGUCACCUUUCAGUUCUGUUUAGUAACAGCAUCUGCUACUUUAUACUUUCCUUUUUUUAAAGAGUAAAUAACUUAUUUUGUUUGUUCCACCGUUUACCGUUUUCCACCAGUCCCCUGCAGCAAAGAGGAGCACCAGGGUUCUGAGGUUCCCUGAAGCCCACUGUUCACAACCUACAGCUGAUGCCUGGUGAGCUGAAGUCAGUGAGGGGCACCAUGGAAAGGGUGGCUUGAAAGUCUCCAGGUCCCAGCAGCUCUCUGAGAUUUAAGAUGACCGAAGGACUACUUAGAAACUGCGAAUUACUGGAAUUGAAAGGGAAGGCUCGAGGUAAAACAAAGAAGAAGAGGGAAGAGAAGGGGAAAACAGCCAAGGGAAAGGUUGAGCGAGAUGAGCAAAAUGAAGCCCUGGCUGAAAAUGAAGACAGCUCCUCAACUACCACGGAAAUGUCCAACCAUGACGUGGACAGCAGCAUAAGAGAGGUGCUUGUUCACAAAGUGACAAAACCGUGCUGUCUUCUAACCUUCUUACUACAUGUUGUUGAGUCUUUGUCACUGCAUGUGUUUUA
rnacentral:lncRNA from 1 species